ACUUCUGCUCUUAAGGGAUAAUCCAGGCCAAGGAAGCAUCCAGAGACUCCGUGGAGAAAGACUACCACUUUUCGCAGAGUGGAGAGGAAAGAAGCAAAUGAGCAAUGUCUGUUUAUGUAUCUGUAUUCUAGGAAGCAGCUCUCAGAUUUCAAGAGUUCUACCAGUAUUUGGAGCAGUUGUUUAUAAAAAUCCUCCGCUCACCUAAAAAUGCAAGGAAAUACUGCAAUUUAAAUGGAGAAUUAAUUUCUUAUUUGUCUUGCUGAUCUUUAAAUAAAAGACAAAAA